UACGGAGGGUGCGAGCGUUGUCCGGAAUCAUUGGGCGUAAAGGGCGCGUAGGCGGCGUUUUAAGUCGGGGGUGAAAGCCUGUGGCUCAACCACAGAAUGGCCUUCGAUACUGGGACGCUUGAGUAUGGUAGAGGUUGGUGGAACUGCGAGUGUAGAGGUGAAAUUCGUAGAUAUUCGCAAGAACACCAGUGGCGAAGGCGGACUCACUGGCCCGAUACUGACGCUGAGGCACGAAAGCGUGGGGAGCAAACAGG
rnacentral:rRNA from 1 species